GGGGGUAUAGCUCAGUUGGUAGAGCACCGGCUUUGCAAGUCGGCUGUCAGCGGUUCAAAUCCGCUUACCUCCA
rnacentral:tRNA from 1 species